rnacentral:tRNA from 1 species
GUUAAUGUAGCUUAAAACCAAAGCAAGGCACUGAAAAUGCCUAGAUGAGUGUACGGACUCCAUGAACA